ensembl:lncRNA
GUUCUCAAACAUCCCCCAAAUCCCAGCCCCUGUCCAACCUUUUCUUCCCCCUCCAGACCCCAAAUUCCCUCAAAUUCCCCCCAAAUCCCAAAUCCCAGAUUUUUUUAACUCCGUGACUCAAAAGUGGGGAAAAUUCCCAUUUUAUCGAGCAAAGCAAAAAUGGAGCGAGGGAUGUCGGGGGGCAGCACCCCAAAUUGGGUGGGUGUCCAUGAGGCUCCAGCGGUGUCCAGAAGCUCCUGGUGGUUCCUCUGAGGUUCUCCUGGUGCCCACGAGGUUCUGCUGAAGGAUCUUCUGGAGUGUCUGCAGGGUUCUAGAGGUGUUUGAGGGUUUCUGGAGGUGUCCACAGGUGCUUGUGGGGUUCUAGAAGUGUCUAUGGGGUUCUCAGGGGUCUCUAUGGGUUAAUAGAGGUGCUUAUGGGGUUCUGGGGGUGACAGUGGGGUUCUAGUUUUGGCUACAGGGUUCUAGAUGUGCCAACAAGGUUUUAGAUGUGUCUAUGGGGUUCUAGAGGUGUCUAUGGAGUUCUUAGGGUCUCUAUGGGGGUUCUAGAUGUGCCAGCAAGGUUCUAGGGGGUCUCUAUGGGGUUCUAGAGGGUCUCUGUGAGGUUCUAGAGGUGUCCAUGGAGUUCUUGGGGUUCUCCAUGGAGUUCUAGAGGUGUCUAUGGGGUUCUUAAGGGUCUCUAUAGGAUCUGGAUGGGGUUCUAGAGGUGUCUAUGGGGUUCUAGGGGGUCUCUAUGGGUUCUAGAAGUGUCUGCAGGGUUCCAGAUGAUCUCCAUGGGGUUCUAAGGGUCUCUAUGGGGAUUCUAGAGGUGUCUGUGGGGUUCUAGGGGGUCUCUGUGGGGUUCUAGAAGUGUCUACAGGGUUCCAGAUGGUCUCCAUGGGGUUCCAGAUGGUCUCUAUGGGGAUUCUAGAGGUGUCUAUGGGGUCUCUAUGGGUUCUAGAAGUGUCUGCAGGGUUCCAGAUGAUCUCUACGGGGGUCCCAGAUGGUCUCCAUGUGGUUCUAGAGGUUCUUACGGGGUUCUAGAGCUGCCUGCAGCGUUCCGGAUUCGCCCACGGGUUCCUGGCGGUUUCUCCUCAAGGUUUCUCAGCCCAACCCCCUUUUCAGCUCCUGGGGUUCCCACAAGGCCCCUGCACGUUCUCCUUCCUCCUGGGCUUGUCCUGCUCCACCUGGAGCCCCAAGCCGCUGGCCACGCCCGAGUUCCUCCUCUCGAUCACCUCCACCUUGAUGACGGCGCUGCCGCCCCUGGCCAGGCUGGCCGCCACCGUGACGGCGCCGUGGCUCAGCUGGACCUUGCGCUGGUUCUCCUUGAGCACCACGCACGGCAGCACCGGGCUCUUGGCCGGGGAGCGCCGCGAGCUCCUGACCAUGCGGCGGUAGGCCGAGCGCAGGUCGCCCUUGUGGACCUUGUCCAGGGACAGCUCGAGGCCGGUGAGCACCGAGAAGCGGUUGCGGUCGAUGGGGUUGGAGAAGAAGACGGCGAAGGUGAAGGUCUCGGCCUCGAAGGCCAGGACGCCGUUGCAGCCCCAGAAGAAGCAGCGGUUGGUGAACUUGCAGACGGUGGAGGAGCAUGGUGGCACCAAGCCAUGGGGGUCACAGAGGCUGCGGCCGCUGUAGAAGUAGGUCCUGGAGAGAGGAAUGUGUGCGGUGAGG